CCUACGGGAGGCAGCAGUGGGGAAUUUUGGACAAUGGGCGAAAGCCUGAUCCAGCCAUGCCGCGUGAGUGAAGAAGGCCUUCGGGUUGUAAAGCUCUUUCGGCCGGAACGAAAUCGCACCCGUGAAUAUCGGGUGUGGAUGACGGUACCGGAAGAAGAAGGACCGGCUAACUACGUGCCAGCAGCCGCGGUAAUACGUAGGGUCCGAGCGUUAAUCGGAAUUACUGGGCGUAAAGCGUGCGCAGGCGGUUUUGUAAGCCAGUCGUGAAAUCCCCGGGCUUAACCUGGGAAUGGCGAUUGGGACUGCAAGGCUCGAGUGCGGCAGAGGGGGGUGGAAUUCCACGUGUAGCAGUGAAAUGCGUAGAUAUGUGGAGGAACAUCAAUGGCGAAGGCAGCCCCCUGGGUCGACACUGACGCUCAUGCACGAAAGCGUGGGGAGCAAACAGGAUUAGAUACCCUGGUAGUCCACGCCCUAAACUAUGUCAACUAGUUGUUGGAGGAUGAACUCCUUUAGUAACGCAGCUAACGCGUGAAGUUGACCGCCUGGGGGAGGUACGGUCGCGAGAUUAAACUACAAUAGAAGUUAGACGGCGUGAGACGUGCCGACGGACGACGACGAGGGAGGAGG
rnacentral:rRNA from 1 species